UACGUAGGGUGCAAGCGUUGUCCGGAAUUAUUGGGCGUAAAGCGUGCGUAGGUGGUUCGUUAAGUCUGUCGUGAAAGCCCCGGGCUCAACCUGGGAAUGGCGAUGGAUACUGGCGGGCUAGAGUGCGGUAGAGGAGAGUGGAAUUCCCGGUGUAGCAGUGAAAUGCGUAGAGAUCGGGAGGAACAUCAGUUGCGAAGGCGGCUCUCUGGACCAGCACUGACACUGAGGCACGAAAGCGUGGGGAGCAAACAGG
rnacentral:rRNA from 1 species